rnacentral:rRNA from 1 species
GAUGAACGUUGGCGGCGUGCCUAAUACAUGCAAGUCGAAACGAAGACUGUAGUAAUACUGUCUUAGUGGCGAACGGGUGAGUAACGCGUGGGUGACCUGCCCCGAAGUGUGGGAUAACAGUCCGAAAGGAUUGCUAAUACUGCAUAAUAUCCAAGAGAUUAGAUGUCUUUUGGAUUAAAGGAGUAAUUCGCUUCGGGAGGGGCCCGCGUCCCAUCAGCUAGUUGGUAAGGUAAUGGCUUACCAAGGCGAUGACGGGUAGGGGACCUGAGAGGGUCGGCCCCCCACAAUGGAACUGAAACACGGUCCAUACACCUACGGGUGGCAGCAGUAGGGAAUAUUAGUAAUGGGCGAAAGCCUGAACUAGCAACGCCGCGUGUGCGAAGAAGGCCUUCGGGUUGUAAAGCACUUUUUGAGAGGAUGAGGAAGGACGGUACUCUCAGAAUAAGUCUCGGCUAACUACGUG